UCCGAUCAAUUCACCAACCUUAACUAUUUUAUACAGUUCCUGAGUUAAUUAAGACAGAUAAUUUACUACAUCAUAAUGCUGGAAAUCUAAAAUAAAACUAAAACAUGGAGAAUCCCAAAUAAUAAAAUAACUACACAGCCCGAAGAAUUCGGUUUCACAAGUUUGAGCCUCUAAUACCUGAGUAUCAAUUUACUAUAUGUCGUUCUAAAGAAAUGCGG
rnacentral:lncRNA from 1 species